GGGGUUGUGCUCAGUGGUAGAGCUCCUGCUUUACAUGCCUGAGGUCCCAGGUUCGAUUCCCGACAUCCCCC
rnacentral:tRNA from 1 species